CAACAUGCUUGUUGUUGGGGCAGAGGAACAGGUGGAGUACGAAGGGACACACGCACAGCGAACGAAGCAGGUUACACCUCUUUCAAUUGCAUCCACCGCAGCACGUGAGGGGAAUGCAGCUCUAGCCAACGUUAUCCGCAAAACAAGCCACAGAAAGUACGGCGAGGUGGAGCAAAGGGCACCGACGGGUCCUGUCACUUUUUAUCAUCACAAUCAACACUGGCUGUUUGGAAUGAAAAAGACGGGAAACAAGGACCGAGGACACGAGGAAAACAGCUCAAGGCUUCAUCGCACAGCGCGUGCAGCUUUUUGUGGAUAACUGUGCUACUUUGACUGUGGAUGUCUGCAGCAGGUUUAAUUAAACAUUAAAUAAUGUUAAAGUCGACAUUAAACAUGCAUGUAAUCCAAUCACAUCACAGAAACUGGACGUCACAUAAAUGACACGGCGACAACACUAUUUCUCCCCCGUCGUUGAUGGAAAAUGUGUAUUCUUAGAACCCGGCUGACUCAUUGAGUUACACAAUACAUUCCAUUAAAGUCAGGUGCAGCAUGAUUCAGGUUGGGGAUCGACUUCAAAGCCAGCGGAGGAAUUUUGUUCAGGCGGGGUAAAUAAUGAAAGUUCUCAAAUGCUGAGAAUAGCAUCGGUGAUUGUGUUCAUGUUGUGAAAUUCUUUCUCUAUAGCAAAAAGCAGAGUGACCUGAAACCCAGAUGCUUACUUUACCGUCUCCUACAGUGCGUUUCCGUCAUACGCCGCUUCACACCGAUCCCAAAGACCUGCUGGGGGGGCGACGCCCGAGGCAAAUAAACGAAAACAUGACAGAAGCUGCGUGAGCCAAAACUGCUCGAAAAAACAAACACAGUUUCCAUGCAAUCACAGACCUCAGUGAGAACGCGUCUGGGUGGGAUUUACCUGGCAUGGCAUCGGUGGUUAAUGUGUCAUCCGAGUCCAAUGGAGCCAAGGAGGCCAUAUGCACACACUCGGGGGGGGGUGGGGGGGGGGGGCUGAGUCACGGAGCCCUGGUCCUGUGGUCAACUGCUCGAGCCAACGUGACAGACCAUAUGGAGAUGAAUAAUCUCCAUGGCGUGGUUCAACGCUUGACCAGUGAGUUUAAGGAACGAUCCAAUAGAGGCUGCAUAUGUUAUUUGUAACAGUAUGUAUAUCCACGCACAUGCAAACAU
ensembl:lncRNA